rnacentral:rRNA from 1 species
AUACGGAGAGGGCUAGCGUUGUUCGGAUUUACUGGGCGUAAAGGGUAUGUAGGUGUCUUGAUAAGCUCUGGGUGAAAUCUCCGCGCUCAACGCGGAAACGAAUCAGAGAACUAUCAGGGUUGAGUUCAGGAGAAGAGAGUGGAAUUCUCGGUGUAGCGGUGAAAUGCGUAGAUAUCGAGAAGAACACCAGCGGCGAAGGCGGCUCUCUAUUCUGAAACUGACACUCAAAUACGAAAGCGUGGGUAGCGAAUAGGAUUAGAAACCCCGGUAGUCC